rnacentral:lncRNA from 1 species
GAGCAUAAAAAUAAUAUUGUAUGAACUUUCUUGAUUAUAUAGAAUUAUUCACUAGGCAUAUUACUCAAAAACCCAUCACCUAGAUCCUCAUAAAACUCAGAAUCUCCACUUCAUCUCCUAUCCCCAAACACUAAAUUUCAUAAGAACAACAUGAAAGCUAUAUAUAUAUAUAUGUGUGUGUGUGUGUAUAUAUACACACAGAAAGGAGUGGAUUGCAUAUAAUUUACUAAAUGAAAGACUAAAUUUGAUAGCAUGUUCUGAUCUCAUAACUUCUCUUCUUCUUCUCCCUCAACUUCUUCUGGAUCUACCAGUCCCUCCUUUUCAGAAACUCUUCUUUGAAUGAUGUUGAACAACAGGCAGAAGAAAAGAGGAAAUUCAAACAAGUGCAGAGAUAAAGAUGAAAACUUUAAUCAAAAUACUAAUAAUUUAAUCUCAUUUGCUGAAUACCCAGAAGAGAAAGUUAAAUAUUCCCCCUCCUCCACAGCACUUUCUGCUCUUUGUUCUUCACAUAAACCCUCAUUUUAGGUUUAAAAGGAUUGUUUAAUUAGUAGAAGAAGUUAUUAAGCAGCCGCCAAAUUUUGUAACUGUUGAAAAUUGAAAGAGUCAAUUAUGGUUCUUUUAAUCCUAAUAAUUAGGAGGUUUAAUCAUAUCUCUAACUCCCC